rnacentral:rRNA from 1 species
AGGCGACGACGGGUAGCCGGCCUGAGAGGGUGACCGGCCACACUGGGACUGAGACACGGCCCAGACUCCGACGGGAGGCAGCAGUGGGGAAUAUUGCACAAUGGGCGCAAGCCUGAUGCAGCGACGCCGCGUGAGGGAUGACGGCCUUCGGGUUGUAAACCUCUUUCAGCAGGGAAGAAGCCACAAGUGACGGUACCUGCAGAAGAAGCGCCGGCUAACUACGUGCCAGCAGCCGCGGUAAUACGUAGGGCGCAAGCGUUGUCCGGAAUUAUUGGGCGUAAAGAGCUCGUAGGCGGUUUGUCGCGUCUGCUGUGAAAGCCCGGGGCUCAACCCCGGGUCUGCAGUGGGUACGGGCAGACUAGAGUGCAGUAGGGGAGACUGGAAUUCCUGGUGUAGCGGUGAAAUGCGCAGAUAUCAGGAGGAACACCGAUGGCGAAGGCAGGUCUCUGGGCUGUUACUGACGCUGAGGAGCGAAAGCAUGGGGAGCGAACAGGAUUAGAUACCCUGGUAGUCCAUGCCGUAAACGUUGGGCACUAGGUGUGGGGGACAUUCCACGUUCUCCGCGCCGUAGCUAACGCAUUAAGUGCCCCGCCUGGGAAGUACAGAC